UACGUAGGGGCCUAGCGUUGUCCGGAUUUAUUGGGCGUAAAGAGCUCGUAGGCGGUUCGGUAAGUCAGGUGUGAAAUCUCCACGCUCAACGUGGAGGCGCCACCUGAAACUGCCGUGACUCGAGUCCGGUAGGGGAGUGUGGAAUUCCCGGUGUGAGCGGUGAAAUGCGCAGAUAUCGGGAGGAACACCGAGGCGGAGGACGGUCGCGGCCUGGCC
rnacentral:rRNA from 1 species